UACGAAGGGGGCUAGCGUUGCUCGGAAUCAUUGGGCGUAAAGCGCGCGUAGGUGGCUUCGUAAGUCCGUUGUGAAAGUCAAAGGCUCAACCUUUGAAAGCCGAUGGAUACUGCGGAGCUAGAGUACGGAAGAGGCGAGUGGAAUUCCUGGUGUAGCGGUGGAAUGCGCAGAUAUCAGGAGGAACACCAAUAGCGAAGGCAGCUCGCUGGGACGUUAACUGACACUGAGGCGCGAAAGCGUGGGGAGCGAACAGG
rnacentral:rRNA from 1 species